rnacentral:lncRNA from 1 species
AUGACUGUUUUGAUAAAACCCAAGAGGCAGGCUUGGGUGCUUCUGCUGUCAGACUGUCAUGGCUGUCCAGAGAAGGAGCAAACACGAUGGUGGGAGAUGAAUUUUUUUCAUCUGUCACCUUUCAAGUGCAAUGUGAUCAAAGCCAAUGUUGAAGCAAUGCAGCAUGUAAAGGAGUCUGUUUUCAUUUAGCUGGGCUGUCUUGAUUUUGCAUUCAUUACACAAGAUAGUCCACUCUCUUGUAAGGAGGAGGGACAGCCUCCUGACAAUGUUUAAAUUAAUGUAUCUGCAAAUUCAGUCAAAAGAGAG